GGGGAUGUUUGAGGCAGAUUUGUGUCCGCCGUUUUGAGGCCAGCUUGCUGGUACCCAAACGGUGUUAGCAUUUUUUGUCUUGAACAUUUGAGUAUGGCUUACGGGCAUUCAUUGGUUCGAUCUGAGUGUAAGUUACGGUCGCAUGCGACACGUGCUUUCCAAUUAGUUCGGUCCAGUUAAUGCUCUCGUACUCGUUCCCCAUGUAAAAGCCGGUCAUCUAUCCGACCCGUCUUGAAACACGGACCAAGGAGUUUAUCGUGUGCGCAAGUUUUUGGGUGUUAAAAACCUAAAGGCGAAAUGAAAGUAAAUGGCUCUUUAGAGUCUGAUGUGCGAUCUAGUAAAAAAGUGCAGCAUGGCCCCAUUCUAACUGUUUACAGUAGGGUGGAGGAAGAGCGUACGCGGUGAGACCCGAAAGAUGGUGAACUAUUCCUGAGCAGGACGAAGCCAGAGGAAACUCUGGUGGAAGUCCGAAGCGGUU
rnacentral:rRNA from 1 species